UUUAAAGAAAGCGUAAUAGCUCACUGGACUAGUGGUUCUGCGCCGAAAAUGUAACGGGGCUAAAGAUACGUACCGAAGCUAUGGACUUUUUAAAGUGGUAGGAGAGCAUUGUGUUUACCGAUGAAGGUGUACCGUAAGGAGCACUGGAGGUCCCACAAGAGCUGAUGAUGGCAUGAGUAGCGAUAAGGAAUGUGAGAAUCAUUCCCGCCGAAAAUCUAAGGGUUCCUGGGCCAGGUGACUCCGCCCAGGGUUAGUCGGAUCCUAAGGUGAGGCCGAAAGGCGUAAUCGAUGGAUAACAGGUUAAUAUUC
rnacentral:rRNA from 9 species